rnacentral:tRNA from 1 species
UUCCUGAUAGUUUAGUUGGUAAAGAAUCUGCCUGUGAUGCAGGAGACCUGGGUUCGAUUCUGGGUUGGGAAG